CAGAGAGUUUGCAGCCAGCAGAGAGCCGCCAGGAGAGAUACUAACCAGAGAUAAAUUGAUUAGUUUCACAUGGCCCCACAGGUACUGCAACUAACUCCAGAGACCAGCUGGAGCAGCUCGAGGACCGCCUUGGUCAGAGAGUACUUGGGGGCAGAGUGGAGCCACUGAGGUCAAAGUACCCUCCAGUGCCAUGUGGCUCUACCAUGCGGGAUAAAAGGCUCUGCCUUUUUAAAUAUUUACCGCAGUAGAUGGGGAACCAAUGUGUUAGGCAAGAAUCCACUAAAAAUUGAAGAUUUUCAGCCUGAGAAAGUGUAAUUUUCUAAGAGGGGGCCAAUGCCCUGUUACAUCACGUGAUGUCACAAGCACAGGAACCUUAAACAAAAGGGACACAGAGGCAGCCUGCUUACAGGCCCUAGGACCCCUGCUGUGAAAAGUGUAGGCUGCCCUGAACACAGAGUUGCAGAAGACCCCACGGGUGCUGCAAGAGACCAGCUGGAACGGCUCGAGGACCGCCCGGGUCAGAGAGUACUUGGGCAGUGUGGAGCUGCUGAGAUGAAAGUAUCCCACAGUGCCAUGGGCCUAUGGGUGCCAGCGCUAGCCCAGGAUAAAAAGGAACACCAGAGACCCCUCAUUAGACUGGUGAUUGGGUCUCAUCCGGAGGAAUUGGGCACAGUUCUGGAACCCUGGUGGAAGGGAUCUUUCCUGAGGUUGUUAACCACUGUCAGAGCCCUCAAAGGUGGACGGUAUUGCUGCCUGGGUGCUCGUGUCCCAUAUGAAGCCUGCAGAUGCCCUGCUCCCCGGGACUCCCACUGGUUGGUACAAAAGAGGGGCAAUCCACUCAAGCUCAAGAUUGCUAGACCCUGAUCAUGUCUGCCUGGUGGUACCUCUGGAUUUUGAUUCCUUCCCCCCAUCCUAUGCAGCUUCCUUGUGCCGGUUUGUCAAACCUGGUCUGUGGUUUCCACUGGAACUGGAGAUGAGUUUGCCUCCUUGAUGGACUCCAAACCCUUCAACACCUGGUGGCCUGACUUCACUUUCAACCUGUGCCAGCAGGCAGCAGGACUUGACUGCUGGGACAUCCCCACCCAUGAUGGGAGCACUGGCGGAAGCAAACUGCACAUAUGGGAGAAAGAGGGCUCUGGGCUGGGGUUAGGGGGUGGGCUGUAGGAUGUGCAUUCCCUGCACAGAUAUCGCCUGCAGGAGACCCCACUUAAGUUUGCCCUCGAGAUGGAAGAAGCCGGGCAGAAGUUCACCGAUGUGGGGGUCCAGACUAGUUUUAUUGACCAGCCUGGGAAUGCCACACUACAGGAGACACCUACUGGAACCCCUCCUCUUCUUGGGACUUGAUCAUGGAAAAAAAUUAUACUAUAGGGGGACCCUAUCUGGGGGACCAAGGGUAUUGGGAUACUCCCUGGGCAAACACCACCUGUAACCCAAUAAUAAUCAGAUUCACUCAGAAAGGCAAAGAAGCAACAGGAUGGCUAAAGGGAAAAACUUGGGGACUCAGGUUGUACAAAUUGGGGUAUGAUGAUGGCCAAGGUGAGAAAAGGGAUAGCCAAACAGAAAAAGAGAAAGAGAGCAGUCAGAGCUGGUUCGAGUCUUGGUUUAACUCGUCUCCUUGGCUAACCACCCUCAUAUCCACCUUGUUAAGACCCCCUCUUUGUUCUGCUAUUGUUGACCUUUGGACCCCGCAUAUUGAACAAGUUUAUAGCCUUCAUAAAAGAGAGAAUGGGGAGCAGUGCAGCUGAUGGUCCUGCACCAAUAAUAUGAGACCCUGAGGACAGGACCUGAAGAAUAUGAGUUAGUCAUCAGAGGCCCCUGAGUGUAGCUCCAAGAUUAGAGCUUGUACAAGAAAAAGGGACCCUUAGGGCUUUCACCAGCCUUACACCCACCUGCCUUGGGACAAGGCUAGGCCAAGUUCCAUUGUCCACCCACAGGAAUAUUCUUCAGUAAAAAAAGUUCUCAGAAUGUACUGACCAAUGCUUGCUAGCCAAUAGAUUUAAAGGUCAAUAUGAUUAGCCAAUAAGUUUAAACUGUAACCUUACUGAUAUAACCUGUGCUCCUGAAAAGUAUAAAAACUGCUUGCUAGAGUCAUUCGGGAUCACCUUCUAGUCACUCGACACGAGGGACUGAUUGAAGGUUGACCCCGACACACCAGAAAAUAAACCUCUUUUACAUCGAUCUGCUUCUUGGUGUCUCACUCAUGGGUGUCUUGAAGUAAGUACCACUGACCGAGGGUUGAGGUCUUACGGCAUGACAAUAUAUGGCUGAAUCACAGCAUUUGAGAGGAAGAUUGGGAAUUCAAGGUCCUCCUCUGCUUCUUAGUGAGUUCAAGGCUAACUUGACCUUCUUGUGACCCUGACUCAAAAACAAACAGGCCUGCCAGAGUCGG
ensembl:lncRNA